CGCUCUCUCGAUGGACCAACCAAUCCCCACCUCCUCCAUCCCUACUCCUCCCACCACAGGAGCAGCCGGUUCUCAACCUACUGAAACAUCGCCAUCACAGCCGUCACCACCGGCACCUCGACCACCACAGCAACAACAACAACAGCCGCCUCCAUUACAACUACCUUCCUCCACUACUCAUUCAGCCCCAUCCCCAGCCCCAACCACUCCAAACCCUAACCCUAGCCCUAG
rnacentral:misc_RNA from 1 species